GAUGAACGCUAGCGGCAGGCUUAACACAUGCAAGUCGAGGGGUAACAUAGAAAAGCUUGCUUUUCUGAUGACGACCGGCGCACGGGUGCGUAACGCGUAUACAACCUACCUUUUAGCGGGGAAUAGCCCAGGGAAACUUGGAUUAAUGCCCCAUAGUAUAUAGACUUCUCCUGAAGUUUAUAUUAAACAUUUAUGGCUAUUAGAUGGGUAUGCGUCCUAUUAGUUAGUUGGUAAGGUAACGGCUUACCAAGGCAGCGAUAGGUAGGGGUCCUGAGAGGGAGAUCCCCACACUGGUACUGAGACACGGACCAGACUCCUACGGGAGGCAGCAGUGAGGAAUAUUGGACAAUGGGUGAGAGCCUGAUCCAGCCAUGCCGCGUGCAGGAAGACUGCCCUAUGGGUUGUAAACUGCUUUUACAGAGGAAGAACCACCCCCACGUGUGGGGGUUUGACGGUACUCUGCGAAUAAGGAUCGGCUAACUCCGUG
rnacentral:rRNA from 1 species